CAUUUACUCAACCUCACAAUGCUGAAAGCUAUAUGACUUUAUUUCUCUGUUCAAACAACAUUAGACCUCAGUGUCUUUCAUCGUGUGCACAUUCUUCAAAAUAUCUUCUUUUGUGUUCUGCAGAAGUAGAGAGUCACAAGUUUGGAACAACAUGAAGGAUAUGAAGCUGUUAAAAAAAAGAUUCAGUGGAUGAAUGAUGAAGGAGACCUGUUGUUGAACACACAUUUAUCCUCAGGCAUAAAAGAAGAGCACCAAAAGAGUGAGAACAAAACCUAUUACCAUCUCUACUGGAGGUGGAAGGAAUAUGGAAUCGUGCUGAAAUACCUCAGGAGGAUAAGGCAGGUCUGAAUCUAAUGACCAUAUCAAGACCCUUUUUAGAGACAAUGAUCUGACCAUUGAGCUGCUUUAUACUUCACCAGUCAUAAUAAAGUGCUCCGCUCUGUCUUGCACUUCCUUUUUUAAUAGUGUUGAAGUUCUGUCCUUUCCCUUUCCUUUUAUUCUUGAUAGCUUUAGGGAAACUGGCCUUUUGGAUUGGCGAGAACUGAAGAGUGUGUCUGUGCAUUGGUUAACCGUGAGCUCUAUGAUUACACAGCGUCUCAUUCUAACAGACAACCGUGACCGAGUCUGUAAUUAAAUAUUCAAUCACUGUAGAGCAGGUGUGGGACUGUAGCAGUUCCACAACAACAGAAAAUGUAGUUCUUUUCCCUACUGUAGUAAACUAGAUUUACUCUUCAGCAUUACUACUGACCACUGAUCUGAAGAGCUACACAAUAGCUGCAAAUUUAUUUGAUGGAUCAAUAUGCUGCACCCUACGUGCCGCUCAGUAGCACACUGGAUUUACGGGUAAAUAAAGCCUGGAACGUCUUUAUGAAAACUGGGCUCUUUGAAAAUAAUACAAAGAAUCCCUGGUGUGUAAAAUUGGAUUUUCCAUAGAGGAUUCGGAGAGAAAUGUAUGUCAAUAUACACGUAUGGAUGAACUCUGAAUCUCACAAUCUUUGCACUGUGCAUGCUGAAUAUACUGUAUAUGACAUGAAGCCAGUGUUGAAAAUGAAUGUUCAAAAUUGUUACUGUGACAACUGUUUUGUUUCUUUCCCCCAAAGCUUUCACUAUCACUUUUUACAGCAGUGAUAUUGUUUUCUGAAUGCAGCGAUAACUCCAAGAAAGACAAAUGCAUCACCUAAGAUAAUCACAUAUACACACUCCCUGUGACAGAGCUCUCUGGCCGCUGCCACAACGUCAGAUCCCACGCCGUCCUUCAUCUACUAUAUGUGAACAAAAACAACAUGCCCUUUGAGCCUGACUGAUAACCGCUCUCCCUGAUACAAUAGCAGAGACAUUCACAAACGUUGCUUGAAUAAGCAGGAACCCAGUGUGUCUGUAGCUUCCUCUUUUUCCGUUUUGAUUGGUGACAGACAGAAAAGGGCCUACUCAAACAAAAUGGAAAAACCAGUCUAAUCUGGUUUGAGACAUCACUAUGAAACUGAUGACAAAACAUAGACACUGCUAUAUUAUAAAUAUCUAAUCACUUAUGAACAAAUAACCUGGAUUUCAUUUUUCUGACAUUUUUCUGGAAUUGCAGUG
ensembl:lncRNA